AUUGAACGCUGGCGGCAGGCUUAACACAUGCAAGUCGAACGAGUGGCGGACGGGUGAGUAAUGCUUGGGAAUCUAGCUUAUGGAGGGGGAUAACUACGGGAAACUGUAGCUAAUACCGCGUACCAUAGGAUGAGCCCAAGUGGGAUUAGGUAGUAGGUGGGGUAAAGGCUCACCAAGCCGACGAUCUCUAGCUGGUCUAAGAGGAUGACCAGCCACCCUGGGACUGAGACACGGCCCAGACUCCUACGGGAGGCAGCAGUGGGGAUUAUUGCGCAAUGGGGGCAACCCUGACGCAGCCAUGCCGCGUGUAUGAAGAAGGCCUUCGGGUUGUAAGGUUCUUUCAGCGGGGAGGCGGUACCCGCAGAAGAAGCACCGGCUAACUCCGUGCCAGCAGCCGCGGUAAUAG
rnacentral:rRNA from 1 species